UAUUUAUUAGAUAAAAGACCAAUGCCCUUCGGGGCUCCUUGGUGAAUCAUAAUAACUUAACGAAUCGCAUGGCCUUGCGCCGGCGAUGGUUCAUUCAAAUUUCUGCCCUAUCAACUUUCGAUGGUAGGAUAGUGGCCUACCAUGGUAUCAACGGGUAACGGGGAAUUAGGGUUCGACUCCGGAGAGGGAGCCUGAGAAACGGCUACCACAUCCAAGGAAGGCAGCAGGCGCGCAAAUUACCCAAUCCCGACACGGGGAGGUAGUGACAAUAAAUACUGAUACAGGGCUCUUUUGGGUCUUGUAAUUGGAAUGAGUACAAUUUAAAUCCCUUAACGAGGAACAAUUGGAGGGCAAGUCUGGUGCCAGCAACCGCGGUAAUUCCAGCUCCAAUAGCGUAUAUUAAAGUUGUUGCAGUUAAAAAGCUCGUAGUUGAACCUUGGGCCUGGCUGGCCGGUCCGCCUCACCGCGUGUACUGGUCCGGCCGGGCCUUUCCUUCUGGGGAACCUCAUGCCCUUCACUGGGCGUGUUGGGGAACCAGGACUUUUACUUUGAAAAAAUUAGAGUGUUCAAAGCAGG
rnacentral:rRNA from 1 species